UUUCUUUUAGCUUAAGUUAAAGCAUCAAUUUGAAGAGUUGAGGAUAACUUUUUGUUAGAGAGAC
rnacentral:tRNA from 1 species